CAAAAACAUCACCUCUAGCAUUAUUAGUAUUAGAGGCACUGCCUGCCCAGUGACAACCGUUAAACGGCCGCGGUAUCCUGACCGUGCAAAGGUAGCAUAAUCACUUGUUCUCUAAAUAAGGACUUGUAUGAAUGGCCACACGAGGGUUUUACUGUCUCUUACUUCCAAUCAGUGAAAUUGACCUUCCCGUGAAGAGGCGGGAAUAUAUUAAUAAGACGAGAAGACCCUAUGGAGCUUUAACUACUUAGCCCAAAGAAACAAAAUUUAUUUCCAAGGAAACAACAGCAUUCUUUAUGGGUUAACAGCUUUGGUUGGGGUGACCUCGGAGAAUAAAAAAUCCUCCGAGCGAUUUUAAAGACUAGACCCACAAGUCAAAUCACAUAAUCGCUUAUUGAUCCAAAAAAUUGAUCAACGGAACAAGUUACCCUAGGGAUAACAGCGCAAUCCUAUUCAAGAGUCCAUAUCGACAAUAGGGUUUACGACCUCGAUGUUGGAUCAGGACAUCCUGAUGGUGCAACCGCUAUCAAAGGUUCGUUUGUUCAACGAUUAAAGUCCUACGUGAUCUGA
rnacentral:rRNA from 1 species